rnacentral:rRNA from 1 species
AGGUUAAUGAGGCGAACCGGGGGAACUGAAACAUCUAAGUACCCCGAGGAAAAGAAAUCAACCGAGAUUCCCCCAGUAGCGGCGAGCGAACGGGGAGCAGCCCAGAGCCUGAAUCAGUAUGUGUGUUAGUGGAAGCGUCUGGAAAGGCGCGCGAUACAGGGUGACAGCCCCGUACACAAAAAUGCACAUGCUGUGAGCUCGAUGAGUAGGGCGGGACACGUGGUAUCCUGUCUGAAUAUGGGGGGACCAUCCUCCAAGGCUAAAUACUCCUGACUGACCGAUAGUGAACCAGUACCGUGAGGGAAAGGCGAAAAGAACCCCGGCGAGGGGAGUGAAAAAGAACCUGAAACCGUGUACGUACAAGCAGUGGGAGCACGCUUAGGCGUGUGACUGCGUACCUUUUGUAUAAUGGGUCAGCGACUUAUAUUCUGUAGCAAGGUUAACCGAAUAGGGGAGCCGAAGGGAAACCGAGUCUUAACUGGGCGUUAAGUUGCAGGGUAUAGACCCGAAACCCGGUGAUCUAGCCAUGGGCAGGUUGAAGGUUGGGUAACACUAACUGGAGGACCGAACCGACUAAUGUUGAAAAAUUAGCGGAUGACUUGUGGCUGGGGGUGAAAGGCCAAUCAAACCGGGAGAUAGCUGGUUCUCCCCGAAAGCUAUUUAGGUAGCGCCUCGUGAAUUCAUCUCCGGGGGUAGAGCACUGUUUCGGCAAGGGGGUCAUCCCGACUUACCAACCCGAUGCAAACUGCGAAUACCGGAGAAUGUUAUCACGGGAGACACACGGCGGGUGCUAACGUCCGUCGUGAAGAGGGAAACAACCCAGACCGCCAGCUAAGGUCCCAAAGUCAUGGUUAAGUGGGAAACGAUGUGGGAAGGCCCAGACAGCCAGGAUGUUGGCUUAGAAGCAGCCAUCAUUUAAAGAAAGCGUAAUAGCUCACUGGUCGAGUCGGCCUGCGCGGAAGAUGUAACGGGGCUAAACCAUGCACCGAAGCUGCGGCAGCGACGCUGAUGCGUUGUUGGGUAGGGGAGCGUUCUGUAAGCCUGCGAAGGUGUGCUGUGAGGCAUGCUGGAGGUAUCAGAAGUGCGAAUGCUGACAUAAGUAACGAUAAAGCGGGUGAAAAGCCCGCUCGCCGGAAGACCAAGGGUUCCUGUCCAACGUUAAUCGGGGCAGGGUGAGUCGACCCCUAAGGCGAGGCCGAAAGGCGUAGUCGAUGGGAAACAGGUUAAUAUUCCUGUACUUGGUGUUACUGCGAAGGGGGGACGGAGAAGGCUAUGUUGGCCGGGCGACGGUUGUCCCGGUUUAAGCGUGUAGGCUGGUUUUCCAGGCAAAUCCGGAAAAUCAAGGCUGAGGCGUGAUGACGAGGCACUGCGGUGCUGAAGCAACAAAUGCCCUGCUUCCAGGAAAAGCCUCUAAGCAUCAGGUAACAUCAAAUCGUACCCCAAACCGACACAGGUGGUCAGGUAGAGAAUACCAAGGCGCUUGAGAGAACUCGGGUGAAGGAACUAGGCAAAAUGGUGCCGUAACUUCGGGAGAAGGCACGCUGAUAUGUAGGUGAAGUCCCUCGCGGAUGGAGCUGAAAUCAGUCGAAGAUACCAGCUGGCUGCAACUGUUUAUUAAAAACACAGCACUGUGCAAACACGAAAGUGGACGUAUACGGUGUGACGCCUGCCCGGUGCCGGAAGGUUAAUUGAUGGGGUUAGCGCAAGCGAAGCUCUUGAUCGAAGCCCCGGUAAACGGCGGCCGUAACUAUAACGGUCCUAAGGUAGCGAAAUUCCUUGUCGGGUAAGUUCCGACCUGCACGAAUGGCGUAAUGAUGGCCAGGCUGUCUCCACCCGAGACUCAGUGAAAUUGAACUCGCUGUGAAGAUGCAGUGUACCCGCGGCAAGACGGAAAGACCCCGUGAACCUUUACUAUAGCUUGACACUGAACAUUGAGCCUUGAUGUGUAGGAUAGGUGGGAGGCUU